UGCAACCUGCAAUUACUCUGGGGCAAAAAAAAGAAUGAAAAAAGAAUGAAAAAAGAAGAAAAAAAAAAGUUGCCCGUUGCGUGCCUGUUUUCUUAAUGUCGUUGCGCUGCGUGUUUGCUUUCUGCAUGUUUGCUUUCUGCUUGCUU
rnacentral:ribozyme from 1 species